UUUCAGAUUGUUCUAGACGUUGGUUGUGGAUCAGGAAUCCUGUCAUUUUUUGCUGUACAGGCUGGAGCUAGGAGAGUUUAUACAGUUGAAGCCAAUUCAGUAGCAUGGUAUGUUGAGAUGCUAGUGAAAAACAAUCGUCUUUCAGACAAGAUCAUUGUUUUGCCAGGAAAAAAUUGACGACAUCUCACUUCCUGAGGCUGUACAUGUGAUCAUUUCCGAACCAAUGGGAUACGUGCUGUUCAGUGAAAGGUUGCUAGAGAGUUAUCUUCAUUCCAAAAAACAGCUAAAAUCAAAUGGAAUGGUGUUCCUGACAUUCAGCGACAUCCACUUGGCCCCUUUUUCUGAUGAACAGCUCUAUGUGGAACACUUCUCCAGAACCAGUUUUUGGUAAUGUCCUUUUCCCCUCUCGUCCUUUCACUUCAGAGUAAACCAGAGCUUUUAAAACUA